rnacentral:rRNA from 1 species
CUACGGGUCGCUCCAGUGAGGAAUAUUGCACAAUGGGGGGAACCCUGAUGCAGCAACGCCGCGUGGAGGAUGACGCCUUUCGGUGUGUAAACCCCUUUUAUAUGUCAAGAAAAUGACGGUAGCAUAUGAAUAAGCACCGGCUAACUCCGUGCCAGCAGCCGCGGUAAUACGGAGGGUGCAAGCGUUACUCGGAAUCACUGGGCGUAAAGGACGCGUAGGCGGGUUGGAAAGUCAGGUGUGAAAUCCUACAGCUUAACUGUAGAACUGCACUUGAAACUUCUAAUCUAGAGUAUGGGAGGGGGAAAUGGAAUUAGUGGUGUAGGGGUGAAAUGCGUAGAUAUCUCAAGGAAUACCUAAGGCGAAGGCGAUCUACUGGACCAUUACUGACGCUAAGGCGUGAAAGCGUGGGGAGCAAACAGGAUUAGAUACCCGGGUAGUC